rnacentral:rRNA from 1 species
GGGGUUAGCGCAAGCGAAGCUCUUGAUCGAAGCCCCGGUAAACGGCGGCCGUAACAAUAACGGUCCUAAGGUAGCGAAAUUCCUUGUCAGGUAAGUUCUGACCCGCACGAAUGGCGUAAUGAUUUGGGCACUGUCUCAACAGCCCGCCCGGCGAAAUUGUAGUACCGGUGAAGAUGCCGGUUACCCGCGACUAGACGGAAAGACCCCAUGGAGCUUUACUGUAGCUUAAUAUUGGAUUUCGGCAUUUCAUGUACAGGAUAGGUGGGAGACUAGGAAACAUAGGCGUCAGCUUAUGUGGAGUCGUCCUUGGGAUACCACUCUUGGAGUGCUGAAAUUCUAACCUGCAGCCCUGAAUCGGGUUGGGGGACAUUGUUAGGUGGGCAGUUUGACUGGGGCGGUCGCCUCCAAAAAGGUAACGGAGGCGCUCAAAGGUUGGCUCAGCAUGGAUGGAAACCAUGCCAUAGAGUGCAAACGCAAAAGCCAGCCUGACUGCGAGACUGACGGGUCGAGCAGAAACGAAAGUUGGAGUUAGUGAUCCGGCGGUAUGUGAAUGGAAAUGCCGUCGCUCAACGGAUAAAAGCUACCCUGGGGAUAACAGGCUGAUCUCCCCCAAGCGUCCACAGCGACGGGGAGGUUUGGCACCUUGAUGUCGGCUCGUCACAUCCUGGGGCUGAAUUCGGUCCCAAGGGUUCGGCUGUUCGCCGAUUAAAGUGGCACGCGAGCUGGGUUCAGAACGUCGUGAGACAGUUCGGUCCCUAUCUGUCGUGGGCGUAGGAUAUUUGAAAGGCGCUGUCCCUAGUACGAGAGGACCGGGAUGGACGCACCUCUGGUGCACCAGUUGUCACGCCAGUGGCACAGCUGGGCAGCUAAGUGCGGAUCGGAUAAACGCUGAAAGCAUCUAAGCGUGAAGCCGUCCUUAAGAUAAGAUAUCCCACUGAGUCAAUCAGGUAAGACCCCUUGAAGACUACAAGGUUGAUAGGCACACAG